rnacentral:rRNA from 1 species
GGGUUGUGAGGUUAAGCGACUAAGCGUACACGGUGGAUGCCCUGGCAGUCAGAGGCGAUGAAGGGCGUGCUAAUCUGCGAUAAGCGCCGGUAAGGUGAUAUGAACCGUUAUAACCGGCGAUACCCGAAUGGGGAAACCCAGUGUGACUCGUCACACUAUCAUUAACUGAAUCCAUAGGUUAAUGAGGCGAACCGGGGGAACUGAAACAUCUAAGUACCCCGAGGAAAAGAAAUCAACCGAGAUUCCCCCAGUAGCGGCGAGCGAACGGGGAGGAGCCCAGAGCCUGAAUCAGCAUGUGUGUUAGUGGAAGCGUCUGGAAAGGCGCGCGAUACAGGGUGACAGCCCCGUACACAAAAGCGCAUGUGCUGUGAGCUCGAUGAGUAGGGCGGGACACGUGGUAUCCUGUCUGAAUAUGGGGGGACCAUCCUCCAAGGCUAAAUACUCCUGACUGACCGAUAGUGAACCAGUACCGUGAGGGAAAGGCGAAAAGAACCCCGGCGAGGGGAGUGAAAAAGAACCUGAAACCGUGUACGUACAAGCAGUGGGAGCCCCACCACCAAAGCAUUUGCUGUACCGCGUUGACGGAGCGAAGCGACGUCAAACCGAUAAAAC